AAAAGGAACAAAGUUUAAAUAUAUCCAAAGAGAAAAAAUAUAUAUGAAAAGGGGAAAAAAGUUACAAAAUAUUAAAAUAAAUCAAAACAGUAAGGAGAAAUAAUUUGGUUUUUUUAAAAAGGGUAAAGUAAAAACAAAAAAAAAACAAAAAAAAAAAACACAAAAUACAAACAAAACAAAACCCAAAAAGAGAGAAAAAUAAAUAAAAAUACAAAUACUAAAAUUUAAACCUGCUUUUCUUUUCCACUUGGUAUUAACUAAUACCAACCACAGUCCACCAGUUCACCAACAAACUCCUGUUGUUUUAACUCCUACUUAAAAGAGACUACUUUAAAUAGCCUACUUUCAAGCAAACUCCAGUG